AGUGAACGCUGGCGGCAGGCCUAAUACAUGCAAGUCGAACGGCAGCACAGCAGAGCUUGCUCUGUGGGUGGCGAGUGGCGGACGGGUGAGGAAUACAUGGGAAUCUGCCCAGUCGUGGGGAUAACGUAGGGAAACUUACGCUAAUACCGCAUGCGCCCUUCGGGGAAAGCCGGGGACCGUAAGGCCUGGCGCGAUUGGAUGAGCCAUGUCGGAUUAGCUAGUUGGCGGGGUAAAGGCCCACCAAGGCGACGAUCCGUAGCUGGUCUGAGAGGAUGAUCAGCCACACUGGAACUGAGACACGGUCCAGACUCCUACGGGAGGCAGCAGUAGGGAAUAUUGGACAAAUGGGCGCAAGCCUGAUCCAGCCAUGCCGCGUGAGUGAAGAAGGCCCUCGGGUUGUAAAGCUCUUUUGUCCGGAAAGAAAAGACGCCGGGGUUUAAAUACCCCUGGUGUCCUGACGGUACCGGAAGAAUAAGCACCGGCUAAACUUCGUGCCAGCAGCCGCGGUAAU
rnacentral:rRNA from 1 species